AAGUAUUUUAUUAAAGUCAUCGACGUUCAAACGUCCCUUUCAAUUAAUAAAAACUCCCAUUCUUUGCCAGUAGCCUGCCAUCCUUCAAUUUCUGAGACCUAGUUAUUUAUUUAUUCCGAGGGCUGGGUCUGGGCACUGUAAUAAGAGAUGGAAACCACAGUAGAGUCCCCAAGGCCACUAAAAUUUCCCAAAUAAAAACCCUGUCAUAGGAUUGUGAAGGAUGGGGGGAGGGGACCUAUCGGAGGGCAUCCAGCUCAGCAAUUUCAUGAUUAACAAAGCUUGAAUCCAUGCGCAGAAACCCAAGCCUGAAGAGUCUCUGAAGGAACCUGCUGUGAGUCAAGCAAAGCGCUACCUUUUAAACCUAGGUGUUCCACCCUUUCUCUCUCCUGCUCCAGCGCCUGUGGACUUUGGGUGUCGGUGUGUGAGGCAAAAAGAUUUUCCCAGUUGCUGUUAGAGGAGAACCAGACUGGAAGAGUAAAGUUAGUAGUUAGUAGAAGAGUGAAGUUAGCCGCCUUGUAGUUCCAAUUGUCCUGAGGCUUGAGCCACUCCCCCCCCCGCCCCCCGCCGCCCCUAUGCAACAGAAGGAUGCCCAAAGCCUAAGUUAGCUAGGGGAGCAGACUCACAACAGAGUGAGGCGACCCUAGCUCUCUAGAAGUUAUUUCUAAACAACUCAGCGGGGUGGAGCGGGAAGAGCAAGGCAAGCAGGAGUUACCUGGUUGAUGGAAAAGACUGCUAGCCUGGGUAUGAGCACUUGAAGGGUGACUUGCAGCAGCGAUGUGCUCAGGCCCGCCAGGAUGGCCCAGGUAGGUGUGUGAGGUGGUGUCCUUCCUGACCACCACGAGGGCGCAGAUCACCACCUCGAUGCCGGUGAAAAAGCCCAGAAGGAUGCCCUUGAGUGGGUCCAUGGGGGCCGAGGCCAGGCUCAAGUGGAGGACCAAGAGGAUUCUUGGACUCAGGCUUUCCUGGACCUUCUGGAAUUCUGAGGGCAGCUUCCCAAGUCAGAAGUCCCUGAAGGAAAAUGACAUGUCUGCCUCCCCUGGAAAGCUGCUGUAAGGAGACACCAACAAUAUCUCCACUCUGACAGAACUCCAGGAGAAGCUAGUGUCAAGAGCUCACCAUGGAAAGGUCUGCAUUGCAAAAUUUGCACCCCCAUUCCAUCUGGAAUGUAGCAUGGCAUACAGAAGAAGAAUAAAGCAUCAGCUUUCCUUCUGCGUUUUCUCUGUCUUAAAAGACAUAAGAGGAAAUAAAGUAUCUGUAUACACUUCGGGUCUUAACAAGAAUUAGUUUUAAAUUAGAUUUUGGUGCAUGCAAGGAGAAAAGUGUCUCAUCAGUAUGAAAACUAUUCUGAGACAGGAAAGGCAGAGCUCACAGUAUAGUCAGGUAAGUAUCAGACAGGGGCCUCCAAGGGAGACAGACUUAAACAUUUUCUGCUUCCUGAAAGAUGAUCUGUGGUUUAUCCAGAGGGUGAUGUAACUGUCAUUUCAUGGUGACAUUGUUGCUGAGAUUACAAGAACACACACAUGCACCUGUGGCGAUAUUUUAUAUGUG